CUUGACCUCAAAUCANGUGGGACUACCCGCUGAACUUAGCAUAUCAAUUAAGC
rnacentral:rRNA from 1 species